rnacentral:rRNA from 1 species
GCAGCGAUGCCGCGUGAGUGAAGAAGGCCUUUGGGUUGUAAAGCUCUUUCGUCGGGGAAGAAAAUGACUGUACCCGAAUAAGAAGGUCCGGCUAACUUCGUGCCAGCAGCCGCGGUAAU